rnacentral:rRNA from 1 species
GGCCGCGGGAAUUCGAUUUCUGGUUGAUCCUGCCAGACCCGACUGCUAUCAGAGUGGGACUAAGCCAUGCGAGUCAACGUAGCAAUGCGUGGCGAACGGCUCAGUAACACGUAGUCAACAUGCCCAGGGGACGUGGAUAACCUCGGGAAACUGAGAUUAAACCGCGAUAGGUCAAGAUUUCUGGAAUGGAUCGUGUCUUAAAUCUACAUGGCCCCUGGAUUGGACUGCGGCCGAUCAGGCUGUUGGUGAGGUAAUGGCCCACCAAACCUAUAACCGGUACGGGCUCUGAGAGGAGAAGCCCGGAGAUGGGCACUGAGACAAGGGCCCAGGCCCUAUGGGGCGCAGCAGGCGCGAAACCUCUGCAAUGGGCGAAAGCCUGACAGGGUUACUCUGAGUGAUUUCCGCUAAGGAGAUCUUUUGGCAGCUCUAAAAAUGGUGCAGAAUAAGGGGUGGGCAAGUCUGGUGUCAGCCGCCGCGGUAAUACCAGCACCCCGAGUGGUCGGGACGAUUAUUGGGCCUAAAGCAUCCGUAGCCGGUUGUGCAAGUCCUCCGUUAAAUCCAGCCGCUCAACGGAUGGGCUGCGGAGGAUACUACAGGACUAGGAGGCGGGAGAGGCAAGCGGUACUUAGUGGGUAGGGGUAAAAUCCUUUGAUCCAUUGAAGACCACCAGUGGCGAAGGCGGCUUGCCAGAACGCGCUCGACGGUGAGGGAUGAAAGCUGGGGGAGCAAACCGGAUUAGAUACCCGGGUAGUCCCAGCUGUAAACGAUGCAGACUCGGUGAUGGGCUAGCCUCGUGUCAGCCCAGUGCCGCAGGGAAGCCGUUAAGUCUGCCGCCUGGGGAGUACGGUCGCAAGACUGAAACUUAAAGGAAUUGGCGGGGGAGCACCACAAGGGGUGAAGCCUGCGGUUCAAUUGGAUUCAACGCCGGAAAUCACUAGUGAAUUC